rnacentral:lncRNA from 1 species
AACAAUAUAACAAUAUAUCAUGCUUGAAGAGUAUGAAUAAUGGGCUUGCUAUAAUUCAUCAAUAUAAUUGAGAACUAGCACGAACAAAUUUUUUUGACUGAACAAGUUUUAAACAUGAACAAACAUUUCUGAACCAACUGGUAAUGAAGGUGAUCAGCCUUUCAUACCUGACUUAUACAUGCAAGAUGUACAGAGUACAAUUUUCAUGGCAAUCAGCAAUGAUUAACCAUAAGCUUG